rnacentral:misc_RNA from 1 species
GCAAUGAAGUUAGCCAACAUCAUCGUAGGAGCAUGACAAUAGGAUCCCAACAAUGCAAUAGCGAUACCACAUAGGAAUACUGUGACACCACAAAUUGGAAAUACCCCAAAGGUGAUACCGAGAGCCGCAGAGAACGCCAACAGUUUUGGCUCUGCUCCCCUUUGGAGGAUGUGAUAAAGAGGAUCAACAAUCUUGUUACGAGUCCAAGAACCAAUUUUUGAUACAAUCUGAUUAACCAUCUUGUGUCCUCUCCUCUUCCUCACUCUUUCUUCACUUUCAACCUUCAAUUAUGUAAUUCAACACCAACCCAAAUCGACAAACACAGUUAUAAAGAGCAAAACAAUUGAUUCACAGGUAAGCUCAGUAGGUGGUGGAUCAUGUAGGCUUCGUUAGAACAGGGAAAAAAGGGGUCGAAAUGUGAACAAAUUUGAAACAAUAAACUUUGUGGAUAUUCUUAUCUUUUGGGUUUCUUUUUACGUUUUUCAAAGAGAAUUAAAUAUAGGU